rnacentral:rRNA from 1 species
GUCGAACGGUGAACACGGAGCUUGCUCUGUGGGAUCAGUGGCGAACGGGUGAGUAACACGUGAGCAACCUGCCCCUGACUCUGGGAUAAGCGCUGGAAACGGCGUCUAAUACUGGAUACGAACCAUGAAGGCAUCUUCAGUGGUUGGAAAGAUUUAUUGGUUGGGGAUGGGCUCGCGGCCUAUCAGCUUGUUGGUGAGGUAAUGGCUCACCAAGGCGUCGACGGGUAGCCGGCCUGAGAGGGUGACCGGCCACACUGGGACUGAGACACGGCCCAGACUCCUACGGGAGGCAGCAGUGGGGAAUAUUGCACAAUGGGCGCAAGCCUGAUGCAGCAACGCCGCGUGAGGGAUGACGGCCUUCGGGUUGUAAACCUCUUUUAGCAGGGAAGAAGCGAAAGUGACGGUACCUGCAGAAAAAGCGCCGGCUAACUACGUGCCAGCAGCCGCGGUAAUACGUAGGGCGCAAGCGUUAUCCGGAAUUAUUGGGCGUAAAGAGCUCGUAGGCGGUUUGUCGCGUCUGCUGUGAAAUCCGGAGGCUCAACCUCCGGCCUGCAGUGGGUACGGGCAGACUAGAGUGCGGUAGGGGAGAUUGGAAUUCCUGGUGUAGCGGUGGAAUGCGCAGAUAUCAGGAGGAACACCGAUGGCGAAGGCAGAUCUCUGGGCCGUAACUGACGCUGAGGAGCGAAAGGGUGGGGAGCAAACAGGCUUAGAUACCCUGGUAGUCCACCCCGUAAACGUUGGGAACUAGUUGUGGGGUCCAUUCCACGGAUUCCGUGACGCAGCUAACGCAUUAAGUUCCCCGCCUGGGGAGUACGGCCGCAAG